rnacentral:piRNA from 1 species
UAAGCAUUCACCCACACUGGCCACUCUGC